UAGGGAAUCUUCCACAAUGGGCGCAAGCCUGAUGGAGCAACACCGCGUGAGUGAAGAAGGGUUUCGGCUCGUAAAGCUCUGUUGUUAAAGAAGAACACGUAUGAGAGUAACUGUUCAUACGUUGACGGUAUUACCAGAAAGCCACGGCUAACUACGUGCCAG
rnacentral:rRNA from 1 species